GGGGGCGAAAUGGGUUCGACGGGGGUAAGAGAGAUAAGGGUUGCAUGCCGAGGUCCCAACCCUCGUAAAAAAAUGGGAACCACUAUAAAUGCCAACUACGACUACGCCUUAGCCGCCUAAAGUGCGGUUAACGCCCUCCCGAUCUCGCCUGCAGGCUUGGGAAGGGCGUCAGAGAUGCAGGCUAGCCCCCUCUGAUGCUUAUAAGGAGGGGGUGAAUCCACAUAAGCUAGCCCUCGGGGAUCUUGCCUGGAGGAGCCCUGAUAGGUGAAACUAAAAUCCGGGAUACGCAUGUAGAUACCCUUAUGGAUCUACUUUCGGACGCGGGUUCGAUUCCCGCCGCCUCCACCA
rnacentral:tmRNA from 1 species